AUUGAACGCUGGCGGCAGGCUUAACACAUGCAAGUCGAACGAGUGGCGGACGGGUGAGUAAUGCUUGGGAAUCUAGCUUAUGGAGGGGGAUAACUAUGGGAAACUGUAGCUAAUACCGCGUACCAUAGGAUGAGCACAAGUGGGAUUAGGUAGUUGGUGAGGUAAAGGCUCACCAAGCCGACGAUCUCUAGCUGGUCUGAGAGGAUGACCAGGCACACUGGGACUUGGACACGGCCCCGACUCCUACGGGAAGGAGCAGGGGGGAAUAAUUGGGAAUGGGGGCAACCUGACGCAGCCAUGCCGCGUGAAUGAAGAAGGCCUUCGGGUUGUAAAGGUCUUUCGGUAGCGAGGCGUUAACUACAGAAGAAGCACCGGCUAACUCCGUGCCAGCCGCCGCGGUAAUUC
rnacentral:rRNA from 1 species